rnacentral:rRNA from 1 species
GUCCUUGCCUUAAACGAUGUAUACUUGGCGUAGUCGGACUCAACCCCGACUGUGCCGAAGCUAACGCGAUAAGUAUACCGCCUGGGAAGUACACUCGCAAGGGUGAAACUCAAAAGAAUUGACGGGGACCCGCACAAGCAGUGGAGCAUGUGGUUUAAUUCGAUGCAACGCGAAGAACCUUACCUGGAUUUGACAUGCAGUUGACCUAACCAGAAAUGGUUACUUCCCGCAAGGGACAAUUGCACAGGUACUGCAUGGCUGUCGU